CCUUCCGGCCCACUUCCCGGGUUUGGGGGCGAGAACUGGCGCUCUGGGCUCCCAGCGGCCCUGGGCUCCGUCCGUCUGACACAGGGCGAGACGGGGCUCGCAGACCGCCCCCUACACCCCCCGCCCGGCAGCGCCGCCUCCUCCGGGAGCCCUCUGGGUGUGCUGUCACAGUAGGUCAACCUAUUAGCCGAACGCCCGGGGCCACCAGCCCACCCGGGGAACCCUUUUUGCCGUAACUCCGCCGCGAACAUCCAGCGCAGAGAGAAUAAAUGUUUGGCUCCAUCAGAAAACAAAUUACAAAUGGAACAAACCAAGGACUCGACUCUGUUUUCAUGACUGGGUUUUUGAACCAUAAUCCCUAGAAGUGGGGAGGAAAGGAUUCAUCAGGCAAAUGAAACAAAGUCCCUGAUCUAUAUUCCUAUUCUGAGAUCACCUCCUAGAACAUCCGCAACAUUUUGGGUUCCAGCCUAAACUAUGAAUUCCUUCGGAACAAAUCAAAUGUCUUUAAAGAAUAUUUCUGUUUGAAAAGGAAUUAAGCUCUCCUGAAAGAAUUUUAAAGGUUGUGAUAUUCACAGUCUGAUAAAGCAGCACCUUUAAUGAAAUUCUAAUUAGCAAUUUCAUGCACUUUGCUAUUAGUCAUAUCAGAUUAGUGCACAUUUUCACAGCCUUCCUUUAAUUAAGUGCACUUAUUCCAAGUUUCAAACACUUUCCUUAUAAGAUGAAAACUGUGCUGAAAUGUUAUUUAGUAAACAGAGGAAGUGUGAAAGUGUAGGUGUGCGUGUGUACAGGGGCAGACGUUUUUAACUGUCUACAAAUUUUUUUACAUGUAUAGAGUUGGUGAACUCAGAUUUACAUCCCUUCUUUCUUGUAGUCUUAGUGUUCACUUGGUAUUUCUAAGGGACCUAUUCAAAACCUAAGCCCAAAUGUACAUCAUGUGUACUUUUGCUUAAAAUGUAUUUUCUGUAUGUGUAUAUCUGUGGGAGGAUUUUUUGAUUAAAAUACCUUUUCUGUAUGUAUAUCUGCAUGUAUGUGUGUGUAUGUGUGUGUGUAUGUAGGCAGAAAGAGAGGAAGAGAGAUAUUAUAAAAUAUACAAUACUUAGUUUUUUAAAUCUCUGCAAAGCAAUGAGCAAGUAUAUGCCCGUACAAUAUCCGCACCCCUGUCACCUUUCGCAGGCACCUCCUUUCCUUUGAAAACAGCAGUAAGAUUUCAUUGGACCUUGUAAAUUUCAUUCUGAAGCCGGAAUAAGGAGCUGGCAGCUAGCUUGGUGAGCUGGAGCCAUGGGGCGUGGGAUAUUAUCCUUCAUUUCAGACUCAACUUCUCCACUGUGAGAGCCCAGCAGUUAAUAAGCCAGUCUAUUCCAGGCAAAGGAGGACCUAUCUGGGGGGUUCACAUCCCACAAACCCCUGAAUCCCCCCAUCAUCCCUCCCUCCUAGGGUGCUGGAGGGUUGCUCCAAUUCAGGGAGAUUGUAUUGUCUGGGAAUCAACCUGAUCUUAUCUGUUGCCUUUUGUCAAGAGGAAAUUUUUGUUGCAUGUUUUGCUCAGAGGUUUGAAACUUGUAAUAUGUUAACUAAUUACUUGCGUCUCUAACACA